GUAACAAAUUGUCUUUUUAUCAGAUUCCCCGUGUCGUGGGCAGCAAGGCAAUACUGAAAGUAUCUAUUUAUCUGUUGGCAAUUUAAUUCUAUACUUGACUGGCCUGAAUUUGUCUAGCUAAGCAUCCGUCAUGGACACACCUUUGCCCACAUCGGUUUUAUGCAAGAAAAAUAACUAAACGUUAAAAACGUCGCAAUAGUAGAAAUGUGUAGUGAAUUCGCGGUUCGUGAAAAUAACGUGAACCCAUCCCGCCAUUAGACCGGAAAGGCUUUCAUCGUCUUGUUGCUAGGUGGCAGAGUCCAGUGCGUGAAUCAGAAAAAGGAGUGGCAACUGGAGCUCAUAAACGUGAGCAGGAGGGACGGGCAAGUGGUUACCUUUGGUCUGGAAACCGGCUUCAUCAGCUGCUCAGGUCGAAGUGAAUUUCUGGCCUUCGGGAGACACCAAGGAUCCCUUGUUGGUGUUGCUCUAGGCAUCACUGUACUAUUCGUUUCCGUAAGCAUCGUAAGUGACAACUUGCAUUUUCUUCCGAGUACGAGACCCUCCGUGUGUCGUGUAAUCAGACUAGCAGCCAUCGAAGAUACGCCCCUCAAAUUGACUGAUUAAACGGGACGCUGAAUUUCAGCUCGAAGGGAUCCAGUUGGGGGGCGCCAAACAAUGAAACCGAAACCAGUUCACUUUUCGUGUUCUUGUUUUUGUUGAGGAAACAAGAAGUCGAUACGUCCACCGUUUCAUCUCCAGUGUUGAAUGACCAGUCUUCAAGGAUACUCUAAAGGAAAAUCAUCGCUAUGAAUUUCUUGGUGUUUUUUCUCAUUAUCGCCACUGCCAUAGCAGCAUCUAUCCCCCUUGAGACUUCUAAUGUUAUUCGUAGGCCAUCGUUGACCAAUUCAUUAGCAGUUGCUGCCGACAACGAAGAAAGGCAAAAUCUCGAGCAGGUCUUUGUUGCAGCUACAGUUUUCGCAUCGGUGAAUAUAUAUUUGAUUUAUGUGAAAGCCACUCUCGUCACUGUUGUGGUAAUGUGCGCCUUGAACCCUACCGAUUGCUCGUUUCUCAACCCGGCCCCAACCGCUAAUAGUUUGGCCAGCAUCAACUUAGAGAACUUCGCAACUGGUGAUCGCCAACAGACUAAUGGUUUUGAUGAAAGCUUUAAACUCCCCCCAGCAUCCACAAUUGCCAAAAAUGCUGUCAUUGCAAAUAAUCAAAGACGUCCGUUUCCCGUCACUUUUCCUGCUUUUUGGAACCCCUACGUCAAUGUUCCAUUUGUUGCCUUUCAUCACGAGAUGCCAAACUCGAACGACCCACAUAUUGGUAGUUUCAUCCCAAAAUUGAACAGCUUCACCCGGUUCAACAAUCCUUCGCUUAUGGACACCUUAACGCCGCACGCCAAACUUCUGGUUCCAGUCGGCACCGUUUCGGAAACAACUCCUUAGUGAAUAAAUGAUGUUCUACUAUCUAACACACCCAUAUAGUUUUUUUCUCCUUGCAUACCUGUAGUUUGCCGUACUUUUCGAAAGACAAUUUGGAAUUAUAAUAAAUAAUAUUUGCUAUCUA